rnacentral:rRNA from 1 species
GGGGGAUAUUGCGCAAUGGGGGAAACCCUGACGCAGCAAUGCCGCGUGAAGGAAGAAGGUCUUCGGAUUGUAAACUUUUGUCUUUGGUGACGAAGAAUGACGGUAGCCAAGGAGGAAGCUCCGGCUAACUACGUGCCAGCAGCCGCGGUAAUACGUAGGGAGCGAGCGUUGUCCGGAUUUACUGGGUGUAAAGGGCGCGUAGGCGGGCCUGCAAGUCAGAUGUGAAAUACCGGGGCUUAACCCCGGGGCUGCAUUUGAAACUGUGGGUCUUGAGUGCGGGAGAGGAAAGCGGAAUUCCUAGUGUAGCGGUGAAAUGCGUAGAUAUUAGGAGGAACACCGGUGGCGAAGGCGGCUUUCUGGACCGUAACUGACGCUGAGGCGCGAAAGUGUGGGGAGCAAACAGGAUUAGAUACCCUGGUAGUCCACACCGUAAACGAUGGAUACUAGGUGUAGGGGGUAUCGACCCCCCCUGUGCCGCAGCUAACGCAAUAAGUAUCCCACCUGGGGAGUACGGCCGCAAGGCUGAAACUCAAAGGAAUUGACGGGGACCCGCACAAGCAGUGGAGUAUGUGGUUUAAUUCGAAGCAACGCGAAGAACCUUACCAGGGCUUGACAUCCCAAGAAUCCUGUAGAGAUACGGGAGUGCCUUCGGGAACUUGGAGACAGGUGGUGCAUGGUUGUCGUCAGCUCGUGUCGUGAGAUGUUGGGUUAAGUCCCGCAACGAGCGCAACCCUUGCUAUUAGUUGCUACGCAAGAGCACUCUAAUAGGACUGCCGUUGACAAAACGGAGGAAGGUGGGGACGACGUCAAAUCAUCAUGCCCCUUAUGACCUGGGCUACACACGUACUACAAUGGAUGUUAACAGAGGGAAGCAAGACAGCGAUGUGGAGCAAACCCCUAAAAACAUUCUCAGUUCAGAUUGCAGGCUGCAACCCGCCUGCAUGAAGAUGGAAUUGCUAGUAAUCGCGGAUCAGCAUGCCGCGGUGAAUACGUUCCCG